GAUUUUGGACUUAACUAAUAAGUGACAGCUAAGUUAAUAUAAAGUCAUGGUCUAUUCAACAGAGCGAGAGUUUGAGAAAAGGCUUUUAAUCAAUAGUGUCUACUGAAAAGAUUUAUUUUAAAACCGAGAAACCAACGAAGAUUUGACUCCCUAAUUACGACGAACUACAUACCGAUAUCCGCUUAAUUGAUAUUUAAUUUAGAUCUAGUUUUAG
rnacentral:lncRNA from 1 species